AUACGUGGGUGGCAAGCGUUAUCCGGAAUUACUGGGCGUAAAGCGCACGCAGGCGGUCUGUCAAGUCGGAUGUGAAAUCCCCGGGCUCAACCUGGGAACUGCAUUCGAAACUGGCAGGCUGGAGUCUUGUAGAGGGGGGUAGAAUUCCAGGUGUAGCGGUGAAAUGCGUAGAGAUCUGGAGGAAUACCGGUGGCGAAGGCGGCCCCCUGGACAAAGACUGACGCUCAGGUGCGAAAGCGUGGGGAGCAAACAGGAUUAGAUACCCUGGUAGUCCACGCUGUAAACGAUGUCGACUUGGAGGUUGUUCCCUUGAGGAGUGGCUUCCGGAGCUAACGCGUUAAGUCGACCGCCUGGGGAGUACGGCCGCAAGGUUAAA
rnacentral:rRNA from 1 species